AGCCCGGAUAGCCUUAUGGUUGAGGUGUUCGAUUCACAAUCGUUCACCCCGGGUUCGGUUCCCAGUUGGGCUU
rnacentral:tRNA from 1 species